AGAGUUUGAUCCUGGCUCAGGAUGAACGCUAGCGGCAGGCUUAAUACAUGCAAGUCGAGGGGCAGCGGGGGUAGCAAUACCUGCCGGCGACCGGCAAACGGGUGAGGAACAUGUACGCAACCUUCCUUUAACUGGAGGAUAGCCCCUCGAAAGAGGGAUUAAUACUCCGUAACAUAAUGAAGUGGCAUCACUUUAUUAUUAUAGCUCCGGCGGUUAAAGAUGGGCGUGCAACUGAUUAGAUAGUUGGCGGGGUAACGGCCCACCAAGUCUGCGAUCAGUAACUGGUGUGAGAGCACGACCAGUCACACGGGCACUGAGACACGGGCCCGACUCCUACGGGAGGCAGCAGUAAGGAAUAUUGGUCAAUGGAGGCAACUCUGAACCAGCCAUGCCGCGUGAAGGAUUAAGGCCCUCUGGGUUGUAAACUUCUUUUAUAUGGGAAGAAAUGUACUUUUUCUAAAGUGCUUGACGGUACCAUAGGAAUAAGCACCGGCUAACUCCGUGCCAGCAGCCGCGGUAAUACGGAGGGUGCAAGCGUUAUCCGGAUUUACUGGGUUUAAAGGGUGCGUAGGCGGAUGAAUAAGUCAGUGGUGAAAUCUCCGAGCUUAACUCGGAAACUGCCGUUGAUACUAUUUGUCUUGAAUAUUGUGGAGGUAAGCGGAAUAUGUCAUGUAGCGGUGAAAUGCUUAGAUAUGACAUAGAACACCAAUUGCGAAGGCAGCUUGCUACA
rnacentral:rRNA from 1 species